CCUACGGGAGGCAGCAGUGGGGAAUAUUGGACAAUGGGCGAAAGCCUGAUCCAGCAAUGCCGCGUGAGUGAUGAAGGCCUUAGGGUUGUAAAGCUCUUUUACCAGGGAUGAUAAUGACAGUACCUGGAGAAUAAGCUCCGGCUAACUCCGUGCCAGCAGCCGCGGUAAUACGGAGGGAGCUAGCGUUAUUCGGAAUUACUGGGCGUAAAGCGUACGUAGGCGGUUAUUCAAGUCAGAGGUGAAAGCCCGGGGCUCAACCCCGGAACUGCCUUUGAAACUAGAUAACUAGAGUCUUGGAGAGGUUAGUGGAAUUCCGAGUGUAGAGGUGAAAUUCGUAGAUAUUCGGAAGAACACCAGUGGCGAAGGCGACUAACUGGACAAGUACUGACGCUGAGGUACGAAAGCGUGGGGAGCAAACAGGAUUAGAUACCCUGGUAGUCCACGCCGUAAACGAUGAUAACUAGCUGUCCGGGCACUUGGUGCCUGGGUGGCGCAGCUACGACAUUAAGUUAUUCCGUCCGUCGGGUAGGUACGGUCGCGAGAGUAAACUACGAAAGAAAGUAGACGGCGUGAAGACGUGCGAAGACGACGACGAGGGAGGAGG
rnacentral:rRNA from 1 species